UACGUAGGGACCAAGCGUUGUUCGGAUUUACUGGGCGUAAAGGGCGCGUAGGCGGCAAAUUAAGUCAGCUGUGAAAUCUCCGAGCUUAACUCGGAACUGUCAGCUGAUACUGAUGUGCUAGAGUGCGGAAGGGGCAAUCGGAAUUCUUGGUGUAGCGGUGAAAUGCGUAGAUAUCAGGAAGAACACCCGUGGCUAAGGCGGCUCUCUAGUACGGUACUGACGCUGAGACGCGAAAGCGUGGGGAGCGAACAGG
rnacentral:rRNA from 1 species